GAUGAAGAACGCAGCGAAAUGCGAUACGUAAUGUGAAUUGCAAAUUCAGUGAAUCAUCGAGUCUUUGAACGCACAUUGCGCCCCCUGGUAUUCCGGGGGGCAUGCCUGUCCGAGCGUCAUUGCUGCCCUCAAGCACGGCUUGUGUGUUGGGCCCCGUCCUCCGAUCCCGGGGGACGGGCCCGAAAGGCAGCGGCGGCACCGCGUCCGGUCCUCGAGCGUAUGGGGCUUUGUCACCCGCUCUGUAGGCCCGGCCGGCGCUUGCCGAUCAACCCAAAUUUUUAUCCAGGUUGACCUCGGAUCAGGUAGGGAUACCCGCUGAACUUAAGCAUACAAUAAGCGGAGGA
rnacentral:misc_RNA from 1 species